rnacentral:sRNA from 1 species
GCCAGGCAUGGUGGCUCACACCUGUAAUCCCAGCAGCUUGGGAGGCUGAGGCAGGAGGAUCAUGAGUUCAAAGCCAGCCUCAGCAACAUUGAGGCACUCAGCAAGUCAGUGAGACUCUGUCUCUA